AAGGCUGAGGCGUGAUGACGAGGCACUACGGUGCUGAAGCAACAAAUGCCCUGCUUCCAGGAAAAGCCUCUAAGCAUCAGGUAACAUCAAAUCGUACCCCAAACCGACACAGGUGGUCAGGUAGAGAAUACCAAGGCGCUUGAGAGAACUCGGGUGAAGGAACUAGGCAAAAUGGUGCCGUAACUUCGGGAGAAGGCACGCUGAUAUGUAGGUGAAGUCCCUCGCGGAUGGAGCUGAAAUCAGUCGAAGAUACCAGCUGGCUGCAACUGUUUAUUAAAAACACAGCACUGUGCAAACACGAAAGUGGACGUAUACGGUGUGACGCCUGCCCGGUGCCGGAAGGUUAAUUGAUGGGGU
rnacentral:rRNA from 1 species